CCUACGGGUGGCAGCAGUGAGGAAUAUUGGUCAAUGGACGAGAGUCUGAACCAGCCAAGUAGCGUGAAGGAUGACUGCACUAUGGGUUGUAAACUUCUUUUAUAAAGGAAUAAAAUGAGGCACGUGUGCCUUUUUGCAUGUACUUUAUGAAUAAGGAUCGGCUAACUCCGUGCCAGCAGCCGCGGUAAUACGGAGGAUCCGAGCGUUAUCCGGAUUUAUUGGGUUUAAAGGGAGCGUAGGUGGGUUGUUAAGUCAGUGGUGAAAGUUUGCGGCUCAACCGUAAAAUUGCAGUUGAUACUGGCAGUCUUGAGUACAUUUGAGGUAGGCGGAAUGCGUGGUGUAGCGGUGAAAUGCUUAGAUAUCACGCAGAACCCCGAUUGCGAAGGCAGCUUACUAAACUGUGACUGACACUGAUGCUCGAAAGUGUGGGGAUCAAACAGGAUUAGAUACCCCAGUAGUC
rnacentral:rRNA from 1 species